AACGAACGCUGGCGGCAGGCUUAACACAUGCAAGUCGAACGCAUCCUUCGGGGUGAGUGGCAGACGGGUGAGUAACGCGUGGGAACGUGCCCUUCAGUUCGGGAUAACCCAGGGAAACUUGGGCUAAUACCGGAUACGUGCGAGAGCAGAAAGAUUUAUCGCUGAAGGAUCGGCCCGCCUCUGAUUAGCUAGUUGGUGGGGUAAUGGCCCACCAAGGCGACGACCAGUAGCUGGUCUGAGAGGAGGAUCAGCCACAUUGGGACUAUGACACGGCCCAUACUCCUCUGGGGGGGAGGAGUGCGGAAUAUUGCACGAUGGGCGCAAGCCUGAACGAGCGAUGCCGCGUGAGUGACGAAGGCCUGAGGGUUGUAACGCGCGUUCGUCCGGGACCAUAAUGACGGUACCGGAAGAAGAAGCCCCGGCUAACUUCGUGCCAGCAGCCGCUGUAA
rnacentral:rRNA from 1 species